rnacentral:piRNA from 1 species
UGAAAGCAAGACACCUUAAUUUUUGUGACUA